rnacentral:misc_RNA from 1 species
UAAUAAGUGUUUAUGGCACUUUUAAAUCCAUAUCCACCUUGCGUGCAAUGUCAGUCGAUCUUCUUCAUGGAGAUCGACCAAACAUCAACCUUUAUCUUUAAACUCUUUGUCUGAAUAAUAUUAUGAAUAAACAAUUCAAAAUA